UGGGGAAUAUUGCACAAUGGGCGCAAGCCUGAUGCAGCCAUGCCGCGUGUAUGAAGAAGGCCUUCGGGUUGUAAAGUACUUUCAGCGGGGAGGAAGGGAGUAAAGUUAAUACCUUUGCUCAUUGACGUUACCCGCAGAAGAAGCACCGGCUAACUCCGUGCCAGCAGCCGCGGUAAUACAGAGGGUGCAAGCGUUAAUCGGAAUUACUGGGCGUAAAGCGCACGCAGGCGGUUUGUUAAGUCAGAUGUGAAAUCCCCGGGCUCAACCUGGGAACUGCAUCUGAUACUGGCAAGCUUGAGUCUCGUAGAGGGGGGUAGAAUUCCAGGUGUAGCGGUGAAAUGCGUAGAGAUCUGGAGGAAUACCGGUGGCGAAGGCGGCCCCCUGGACAAAGACUGACGCUCAGGUGCGAAAGCGUGGGGAGCAAACAGG
rnacentral:rRNA from 1 species